rnacentral:rRNA from 1 species
AGGGGUUACUUGCCUUCGGGCAGGUGAUCACUGGCGCACGGGUGAGUAACACGUAAGUUAUCUGCCCUUGGGUCUGGCACAACUCCGGGAAACCGGGGCUAAUUCCAGAUGAUAUCGAAAGAUCAAAGUUCCGACGCCCAAGAAUGAGCUUGCGUCUGAUUAGCUUGUUGGCGGGGUAAAAGCCCACCAAGGCGACGAUCAGUAGCCGGUCUGAGAGGAUGAUCGGCCACAUUGGGACUGAGACACGGCCCAGACUCCUACGGGAGGCAGCAGUAAGGAAUAUUGCGCAAUGGACGAAAGUCUGACGCAGCAACGCCGCGUGCAGGAUGAAGGCCCUUUGGGUCGUAAACUGCUGUAGCAGGGGACUAAUAACCGCCUCGGGCGGGAAUGAAGGUACCCUGAAAGUAAGCUCCGGCUAACUACGUGCCAGCAGCCGCGGUAAUACGUAGGGAGCAAGCGUUGUCCGGAUUCACUGGGUGUAAAGGGUGCGCAGGCGGAUUUGUAAGUCAGAGGUGAAAUCUUACGGCUUAACCGUGAAACUGCCUUUGAUACUGCAGAUCUUGAGUUUGGGAGAGGUUGAUGGAAUUUCAGGUGUAGCGGUGAAAUGCGUAGAUAUCUGAAAGAACACCAGUGGCGAAGGCGGUCAACUGGCCCAUAACUGACGCUCAGGCACGAAAGCGUGGGUAGCGAACAGGAUUAGAUACCCUGGUAGUCCACGCCUUAAACGAUGAAUACUUGGUG